rnacentral:rRNA from 1 species
UGGGGAAUAUUGCACAAUGGGCGCAAGCCUGAUGCAGCCAUGCCGCGUGUAUGAAGAAGGCCUUCGGGUUGUAAAGUACUUUCAGCGGGGAGGAAGGGAGUAAAGUUAAUACCUUUGCUCAUUGACGUUACCCGCAGAAGAAGCACCGGCUAACUCCGUGCCAGCAGCCGCGGUAAUACGGAGGGUGCAAGCGUUAAUCGGAAUUACUGGGCGUAAAGCGCACGCAGGCGGUUUGUUAAGUCAGAUGUGAAAUCCUCGGGCUCAACCUGGGAACUGCAUCUGAUACUGGCAAGCUUGAGUUUCGUAGAGGGGGGUAGAAUUCCAGGUGUAGCGGUGAAAUGCGUAGAGAUCUGGAGGAAUACCGGUGCCGAAGGCGGCCCCCUGGACGAAGACUGACGCUCAGGUGCGAAAGCGUGGGGAGCAAACAGG